GAUGAAGAACGCAGCGAAAUGCGAUAAGUAAUGUGAAUUGCAGAAUUCAGUGAAUCAUCGAAUCUUUGAACGCACCUUGCGCUCCUUGGUAUUCCGAGGAGCAUGCCUGUUUGAGUGUCAUGAAAUCUUCAACCUAUAAGCUUUUGUGGUUUGUAGGCUUGGACUUGGAGGCUUGUCGGCCUUGAUCGGUUGGCUCCUCUUAAAUGCAUUAGCUUGAUUCCUUGCGGAUCGGCUCUCGGUGUGAUAAUAUCUACGCCGCGACCGUGAAGCGUUUGGCGAGCUUCUAACCGUCUCACUUGAGAGACAACUUUAUGACCUCUGACCUCAAAUCAGGUAGGACUACCCGCUGAACUUAAGCAUAUCAAUAAGCGGAGGA
rnacentral:misc_RNA from 1 species